AUGUUAUAUAGGUCAUAUAGUGCAUGUUAUGUAAAUGAAUCUAAACCUUUAUAAACUUAAAAAUAUUCCACAGAUGUUGUUUCCGGCUGAGGACAUUUGGUUGUGCCCACUGAACUUCGGUGCACACUGGAUCCUUGUGGUUGUCAAAAUCUCCUCACGAUCUGUACUGCUGUUAGACCCUCUUGGAAAUGAAGGUUGUUAUGAAAGGAAAAUUAUGCGUAACUGGAGGAAUUUUCUGAAGAUGAAAGGAAAGGAAGAGUCCCGAGUGGAUUGGAAAAUGGAGACUCUGCCACACAGCAAGCAGAUGGACUCCAGCAGUUGUGGAGUUUUAGUGUUGAAGGUAUUUAAUAAGCAAUUGUAUUUAAUUGUAUUUAUUGUAUUUAACUAGAAUUAAGUUAAUCAAUUGCAAUUACUGUAACAUAUUUUACAGUUUGCCAA